rnacentral:rRNA from 1 species
CCUACGGGAGGCAGCAGUAGGGAAUAUUGCACAAUGGGGGAAACCCUGAUGCAGCAACACCGCGUGAAGGAAGACGGUUUUCGGAUUGUAAACUUCUGUUCUUAGUGAAGAAUAAUGACGGUAGCUAAGGAGCAAGCCACGGCUAACUACGUGCCAACAGCCGCGGUAAUACGUAGGUGGCAAGCGUUGUCCGGAAUUACUGGGUGUAAAGGGAGCGCAGGCGGGGAGCCAAGUCAGCUGUGAAAACGAUGGGCUUAACUUGUAGACUGCAGUUGAAACUGGUUGACUUGAGUGAAGUAGAGGACAGUGGAACUCCGAGUGUAGCGGUGAAAUGCGUAGAUAUACGGAAGAACACCGGUGGCGAAGGCGGCUAACUGGGCUGCAACUGACGCUGAGGCUCGAAAGCGUGGGUAGCAAACAGGAUUAGAUACCCGUGUAGUC